ensembl:lncRNA
GGAGACGCAAUAGGCUGGAGGGAGGGGUAGGCUGCAAACUGGAGGGUUGGUUGGAAAUUUGAAUAUGGAGCAGUUAACACCCCUAGAACCCUGUCAAGUCUGGGCAGGCUGGCGACUGCUGCCCCUCCCCCAUGCACCCUAGUGGAGAGCUGGGGGCUUGGGCUGCAGGGGGAGUUCAUCCAGAGAGGCUCUGAACUGGGAGACGCCUCAGUGAGAAUGCUUACAUCCACACGCUUUUCCAUACGCUGCCCCCAAAACGCUUUGUCAGUCUCUCACCUCCUGGCUUGAGAAUAAAGGAUUUCUCUCUAAGGAAACCAACCAAGCCAAUGGCAAAGACCUACAGAUACUGCCAUCUGGGGCUCCCAGUGGACCAGCUGGACCCCCAGCCCAGCACCCUACAGCGAGGCCCACAGUGGGCGAGUCCUUCCCGCACAAGGAAAGCUCCCCAGUCAGACCUGAGUGCCCCGCUCUUCAAUGUGAGUGGACAGCUGAGGAUCACUUAGGCCUCUGAGGAAAGUCUGCGCUUGAAAGUUACCCGAAUAAACAGAAGGUGAGAAGCAGGAAGGAAGGGACUUAAGGCAGGGAGAAAACUUUUUAAAAGAGUAAUUGAUAUUCCCAGAAAACUAAGAGAAGAUACCACAUCCAAAAAGUAAGGAACAAUAUUUCAUGUAAUUUUUUCCCCAGCUUUUUUUGUUGUGACUGCUGUCGAACUGAUUCCGACUCCUAGCGACCCUGUGGACAGCAGACUGCAACCCUGCCUGGGUUUUUGGUGCCAUCUCUCCCCUUCCGGCGCUAUAUCAGACAAUGAAUGCUCGACUGCUAUUUGUGGGGUCUUUUGGAAGUGGGUGACCAGGCCCUUUGUCCCAGUCUGUCUGAGUCUGGAAAUCCUGCUGAAGCCUGUCUACCACACCACAGUGUGACAACUGACAGACAGGUGGUGUGGCUCUCUGACUGGAAACAAACCCGGGCAACGGCAAUGAGAGUGCCAGAUCUUAACCCCUGGACCAUCUUUCCACCUUUACCGAAGACAUAACUGGCAUACGACAUUGUGCGGAGGGACGGGAUGGAUCCCGACCAGGAGGUCCUGCCUGGAGCCUCAGGCUGUAAGCUCGUGUUAUAGUCACUCAGCAUCUAUUAAGCAUCUGCCAUGGGCCAGGCCCUCUUCUCAGCACUGGGAACACAUCAAUGGACCAAAGAGACAAAGCCCCGACUUGGUGGAUCUAUAUUCUAGUGUUUAUCUUUGAAGCCUCACGUUUUACUCGAAAGUAAUGUAUGUGGCUCAAAGUCAAGAUGUUAUGAAAAACUACACAUCGCGAAACCUCACUCCUUCCUGUGGCUCCAUCCUCUCUCCCCUCACGCCCCCUCCGUCCGCAGUACCAGGUUGAGCUGCUCCAUUCGAUUCACGUGUCCCUCCCCUGCUUCUUGAUGCACGGCAAGCACGUCCAGACACAUUUCUUCCUAUUUCCUCCCUCUUUAAUUACAUUAAAAUAGCAUACUACGCAGCAUUGUAUCUUACUGUUUUUACUUAGCAUCUCCUGCAGGUAUUUCCUUAGCAUGAUUUCUGAGGGCAUCCUCAUUUUUUGCAAUUGUAUAGUAUUCCAUUUGGGGACUAUACCAUCAUUUAUUA